GUCAUUUUAUCUGACUCUUCACUCAGUUUCCGUACUUAUCCCAAUGAGAGAGUGGAAAUUGUACAUGCUUGAUGUGGACUAAGAGGCUACAUAAGACAGUGCAAAAUCCAGCCUGUAAUUUUUUAUUCUAAACCAUACAUUACAGACACAGUUCCUAUAGAGUGCUCAUUUCGCAUUCAGUUUCAUUCCUCCAUAGGGGUAAUUAGCUUCCAAUGAAGAAAAUCAUUUAAUUAGGCCCACAACGGAUUAGAGCCUGGUGCACAGCCCAUCGAAACAGAGGAGAGGAUACAAAUUGAUUUCAACAUGUUUUGGGUCAGGCUCAAACUUCCAAAGCAAAUAGAGAGAUAAGACAGCAUCUGCUGACUGUUCACCUGCCAAGUUUUUAUGCUGCUAAUUUUAGGUGCUGCAGGCAGUUGUCCAGGUUAUUUACCACCUGGGCUGUUUUGAUCUUGAACACACGUAUUGAUGCACUAGCUCGCUUAUCUCUACGGCGGUAAUACUGGCCCAACUGUACUAGCAGUUUGGGAUCGAUGGUGAUUCCCCUCUUAUUCAGCUGAAAAGCAUUUUACUUACCUAAUUACUAAUCUCUUAUUAAGGGCCUGAACUGGCAAAGCUCGACUAAGCAGUCUGAAGUGCUGGACAUGCUGCAGAAACACACAACUUCGUCACUGGACAACCGUAUGGGACAUACCUACGCUCUUCCAGACUCACCUGGAUCCUCUCGUGGCUAACAGCAACUGAACAGUGAUACAGAUUUGUUAGAGAUUCUUCCUGGAAAUUCAGAAGAUGUGAUUCACUUCACAGAUCCCAGGAAGCAUGUACCUAAGAUUUGACUUUCAGGCACGUCUGCUCCAUAGCACUCCAUCAGCCCCAGCUAAAUCCCAAACAGAGACGUGAGACGUGGAACCACUUCUGCAAAGCCAGUGCCUCAAACAGUGCAGGAGGCAACUGAACAAGAGCAGGCAGGAGGCUGGGCUGGUGGGCAUCACGUACAGAGCCCACCUGCCUGAAUACCUGGGGGCGAGCCAGGUCCACAGGGCCCCACGUUAUCCUUGCUGCCCCUUGUCCUCGGACCAGGUUCUCUCCGAGCCCAUGCCUGGGUACAGUUCGAGGGAUAUCGCAGGCCAGAAACUCAUCGCCCCCAGUAUCCCACUUACCAUCAUGUCACAUAACCUCCGUUUGAGGCUCUGACAGCAGCUCUCCGAUUCGCAGCAGUCCAUCUUCAGACACUCUGAGCUUUAAAACAAAAACAAAAACACCAACCCUCUGAACUGAAAGCAAACCACACAUAAAUAAAGCCUGUGACUAAUGCCGCGCAUGCACCAGCAGCAGCCCAGAGGACAGGCAGGGCCAAGAGGCUGCAAUCACUACCUGCUGGUUGGGAUCAGGUACUGUAGGGAUCU